AUACGGAGGACGCGAGCGUUAUCCGGAUUCAUUGGGUUUAAAGGGUGCGCAGGCGGCCGUGCAAGUCAGCGGUGAAAGCCCGGGGCUCAACCCCGGAAGUGCCGUUGAUACUGCAUGGCUGGAAUGCGGUCGAGGCGGGCGGAACGUGGCGGGUAGCGGUGAAAUGCGUAGAUAUGCCACAGAACGCCGAUAGCGGAGGCAGCUCGCCAGGCCUGCAUUGACGCUCGGGCACGAAGGCGUGGGGAUCGAACAGGAGUAGAUACCCUGGUAGUCCACGCCGUAAACGAUGGGCGCUCGUCGUCGGCGGCAGACAGUCGGCGGCCAAGCGAAAGCGAUAAGCGCCCCACCUGGGGAGUACGGUCGCAAGGCUGAAACUCAAAUGAAUUGACGGGG
rnacentral:rRNA from 1 species